rnacentral:rRNA from 1 species
GAUGAACGCUGGCGGCGUGCCUAACACAUGCAAGUCGAGCGGGAUUUAGUGGAAUGAAACUUCGGUAGAAUGAAUCUAAUGAGAGCGGCGGACGGGUGAGUAACGCGUGGGCAACCUGCCCCAUACACAGGGAUAGCCAUGGGAAACCGUGAUUAAAACCUGAUAAAACACUGAGUUCACAUGGACUUAGUGUCAAAGAUUUAUCGGUAUGGGAUGGGCCCGCGUCUGAUUAGCUAGUUGGUGAGGUAACGGCUCACCAAGGCAACGAUCAGUAGCCGACCUGAGAGGGUAAUCGGCCACAUUGGAACUGAGACACGGUCCAAACUCCUACGGGAGGCAGCAGUGGGGAAUCUUGCACAAUGGGCGAAAGCCUGAUGCAGCAACGCCGCGUGAGCGAUGAAGGCCUUUGGGUCGUAAAGCUCUGUCCUUGGGGAAGAACAAAAUGACGGUACCCUUGGAGGAAGCCCCGGCUAACUACGUG